rnacentral:rRNA from 1 species
UACGGAGGAUCCGAGCGUUAUCCGGAAUCAUUGGGUUUAAAGGGUCCGUAGGUGGGCUAGUAAGUCAGUGGUGAAAUCCGGCAGCUUAACUGUCGAAUUGCCGUUGAUACUGCUAGUCUUGAAUUACUGUGAAGUGGUUAGAAUAUGUAGUGUAGCGGUGAAAUGCUUAGAUAUUACAUGGAAUACCAAUUGCGAAGGCAGAUCACUAACAGUAUAUUGACGCUGAUGGACGAAAGCGUGGGGAGCAAACAGGAUUAGA